CCCUUGAGGAAACUUGUUUCAAAAAUGCACCACGAGUAAAACUUUUUUUAAAAAAUGAAUCGGGAAUUCAGCGUGGUGUUGAGAUUAGACCGCUCGGAGCCAGGUCAACUGGCGCUGAAUGAUGUGUCCUCGUGGUGCGGAUGCUAACUCAGCCUACCGACGUGGCAAAGGUCAGCUCAACCUGCCACAGUGCUGAUGGGCCCGCCAUCAGCGCUAGGCUUGUUGUCGCCGAUGUAGGAAACUUUUAUCCCCACCCUACAAUCUUUCGUAUAGCAAUAUGAGCAAAGAGAACCCUACAUCCCAAAUCAAUAGUAUUAAGAAAAAUUAACAUCAUUGAGAAAGUAUCUCCAAGAAAUCCACACAAAAUCUGUGCAACAGAUAGGAAAUACUUUUGCAACAGGAAUUCAGAUACCUUUGCAACCACAUUUGAAAUUCAGAUAUUUCGCUAUCAAAACCAUGUUCAUAAUUAGUGUUGUAGAUCUCAUAAUUGCUCUGGCUAUUGUUUUUGCCAAUAUACAUUCAGAAAGAAAUCACAAAUUGGACACCAGAACUGAGAACUUCACAUAGACAGAAAUUGCCUCCAUCUAGCAAAGUACAUGAGCCCCCUGUCAUUCAAGAGGUGAUGUUUACAGUAGGAAUAGAAGUCAUCUGGAAUGCUAGCGAUGCAUCUGAAGUCUGAACCAUUUCCAAGCAAUCCUAUUAUUCAGGUGUAUCGAACCAGCGUGGAGCAGAGUGCCUCAAUCCUGGCUCACAACUCUAGCUGUGAAGGUUAUUAAUGAUCAAGAGAAUAAACAUUUGGCAAGAUAUUAGAAGCACUAGAAGACUAAAUAAGUUUUGAUAACUGUUGAACACAGUCACUUAAAACCAAUUUAUACAGGGAUCAGAACGUAAUUUAAUUUGCUAUGACAAGCAUAGUAAGUUUCAAUAGUCUGAGACUUUGAGUAGACAGUUCAA